CUUUCUCUCUGUCUUUUUCUCUUCCACUG
rnacentral:piRNA from 1 species